rnacentral:rRNA from 1 species
UUCUUUGGAGAGUUUGAUCCUGGCUCAGGACGAACGCUGGCGGCGUGCCUAAUACAUGCAAGUCGAGCGGACUGGAUUGGAGCUUGCUCUGAUUCGGUCAGCGGCGGACGGGUGAGUAACACGUGGGCAACCUGCCCGCAAGACCGGGAUAACUCCGGGAAACCGGAGCUAAUACCGGAUAACACCGAAGACCGCAUGGUCUUUGGUUGAMAGGCGGCGCAAGCUGUCACUUGC